rnacentral:rRNA from 1 species
AACGAACGCUGGCGGCAGGCCUAACACAUGCAAGUCGAACGCUCCAGCAAUGGAGAGUGGCAGACGGGUGAGUAACGCGUGGGAACCUACCCUUUGGUUCGGAAUAGCUCAGGGAAACUU